rnacentral:rRNA from 1 species
UUGCUCUCUUGGCGGCGAGUGGCGGACGGGUGAGUAAUAUAUCGGAACGUGCCCAGUAGCGGGGGAUAACUACUCGAAAGAGUGGCUAAUACCGCAUACGCCCUACGGGGGAAAGGGGGGGAUCGCAAGACCUCUCACUAUUGGAGCGGCCGAUAUCGGAUUAGCUAGUUGGUGGGGUAAAGGCUCACCAAGGCAACGAUCCGUAGCUGGUUUGAGAGGACGACCAGCCACACUGGGACUGAGACACGGCCCAGACUCCUACGGGAGGCAGCAGUGGGGAAUUUUGGACAAUGGGGGAAACCCUGAUCCAGCCAUCCCGCGUGUAUGAUGAAGGCCUUCGGGUUGUAAAGUACUUUUGGCAGAGAAGAAAAGGUAUCCCCUAAUACGGGAUACUGCUGACGGUAUCUGCAGAAUAAGCACCGGCUAACUACGUGCCAGCAGCCGCGGUAAUACGUAGGGUGCAAGCGUUAAUCGGAAUUACUGGGCGUAAAGCGUGUGUAGGCGGUUCGGAAAGAAAGAUGUGAAAUCCCAGGGCUCAACCUUGGAACUGCAUUUUUAACUGCCGAGCUAGAGUAUGUCAGAGGGGGGUAGAAUUCCACGUGUAGCAGUGAAAUGCGUAG